rnacentral:rRNA from 1 species
AGUUGGUCCCAAGGGUAUGGCUGUUCGCCAUUUAAAGUGGUACGCGAGCUGGGUUUAGAACGUCGUGAGACAGUUCGGUCCCUAUCUGCCGUGGGCGUUGGAAAUUUGAGAGGAGCUGCUCCUAGUACGAGAGGACCGGAGUGGACGUACCCCUGGUGUUCGGGUUGUUUUGCCAAAGGCAUUGCCCGGUAGCUAUGUACGGACGGGAUAAACGCUGAAAGCAUCUAAGCGUGAAGCCCCCCUCAAGAUUAGAUUUCCCAGAGCUUUAAGCUCCUGAAGGGCCGUUGAAGACUACGACGUUGAUAGGUUGGGUGUGGAAGCGCGGUAACGCGUGAAGCUAACCAAUACUAAUUGCCCGUGAGGCUUGACCAUAUAACCCCAAGG